UUGUCCUCCAGCACCUCCCGAAUCCGCUGCCGGAUCUCGGAGGCGGUAAGCGCACCCGUCGCAAGGACGGUACCCCCAGUCGGUGCGCCCGGAGUCAUGUCAGCGAGCGAGCAGACCCGGAGCAUCAGCGGCACCACCCGCCGGGCGUGGUACGCCUCGAUGACUCCGGCUCCGGUCAACCCCCUCCCCUUCAAGUGCUCGAUGGCCUGCAGCAGGC
rnacentral:lncRNA from 1 species